GAUCCUGGCUCAGAUUGAACGCUGGCGGCAUGCCUUACACAUGCAAGUCGAACGGCAGCACGGGAGCUUGCUCCUGGUGGCGAGUGGCGAACGGGUGAGUAAUACAUCGGAACGUACCCUGAAGUGGGGGAUAACGUAGCGAAAGUUACGCUAAUACCGCAUAUUCUGUGAGCAGGAAAGAGGGGGAUCGCAAGACCUCUUGCUUUAGGAGCGGCCGAUGUCGGAUUAGCUAGUUGGUGAGGUAAAGGCUCACCAAGGCGACGAUCCGUAGCGGGUCUGAGAAGAUGAUCCGCCACACUGGGACUGAGACACGGCCCAGACUCCUACGGGAGGCAGCAGUGGGGAAUUUUGGACAAUGGGCGCAAGCCUGAUCCAGCCAUGCCGCGUGAGUGAAGAAGGCCUUCGGGUUGUAAAGCUCUUUCGGUGGGGAAGAAAUUGCACAGGAUAAUACCUUGUGUAGAUGACGGUACCCGCAUAAGAAGCACCGGCUAACUACGUG
rnacentral:rRNA from 1 species